rnacentral:rRNA from 1 species
AGUGAACGCUGGCGGUAGGCCUAACACAUGCAAGUCGAACGGCAGCACAGUAAGAGCUUGCUCUUACGGGUGGCGAGUGGCGGACGGGUGAGGAAUACAUCGGAAUCUACUUUUUCGUGGGGGAUAACGUAGGGAAACUUACGCUAAUACCGCAUACGACCUACGGGUGAAAGCAGGGGAUCUUCGGACCUUGCGCGAUUGAAUGAGCCGAUGUCGGAUUAGCUAGUUGGCGGGGUAAAGGCCCACCAAGGCGACGAUCCGUAGCUGGUCUGAGAGGAUGAUCGGCCACACUGGAGCUGAGACACGGUCCAGACUCCUACGGGAGGCAGCAGUGUGGAAUAUGGGACAAUGGGCGCAAGCCUGAUCCAGCCAUACCGAGUGGGUGAAGAAGGCCUUCGGGUUGUAAAGCCCUUUUGUUGGGAAAGAAAAGCAGCAGGUUAAUACCCCGCUGUUCUGACGGUACCCAAUGAAUAAGCACCGGCUAACUUCGUG